GACAGAGGGUGCAAACGUUGCUCGGAAUUACUGGGCGUAAAGCGCGUGUAGGCGGGUAUAUAAGUCAGAUGUGAAAUCCCUGGGCUCAACCCAGGAACUGCAUUUGAAACUGCAUAUCUAGAGUGUCGGAGAGGAAAGCGGAAUUCCUGGUGUAGAGGUGAAAUUCGUAGAUAUCAGGAGGAACACCGGUGGCGAAGGCGGCUUUCUGGACGAUUACUGACGCUGAGACGCGAAAGCGUGGGGAGCAAACAGG
rnacentral:rRNA from 1 species